rnacentral:tRNA from 1 species
GUUCGAUUAGCUCAGGUGGGAGAGCGUCGUAGGUUGUGCCUACGAAGGUCAGGAGUUCGAAUCUCCUAUCGGACA